AGGGAGAAUCAUGGUGACUGUUCUCAUGUCAAUUUAUGACUAUUGAUCUCAAAUAUGCCCUUAAAACUGCUGACAGUCAUACUACAUUUUCUCAGUCCAUUUAUCAGUUGUCCUGCACUAUUUCAGGCUUUCUCCCCAAAAGACAUUUCCCUGUCCUUAUAUCAGCUUAUGACCUUUCUUUCUUAUGGAGAAAAGAUAAAAGUUACCAAGACCUUCUCACAAGCUCCUCCUCCCAUCAUUUAUUCCUUUCUGUCUCCUAGGACCCAUCAACAGCUGUAGAAUCUCUGCUGAGUCCUGGCUGCUCCUUUCAGGCAGCCUUCCUGGAGAGCACUGAAUCCAGCUCCUGCCAGAAGGCUAUAACAUGGGGUCCAUACUUUGUCUCCAGUAAAACUUGGAAUGCUGCCCAAUCCAAACAGGUUGGAGGAAGUUAGAUUUUUUUUCUUUCUUCAUUGUUAGAAGAUUAUGGAAUCAUCAUCAUGAGUUGUUCUGCUCACAAAGAUUGGUCUGUGACAGACACCAAACCACAACCCAAUUCAGAAAGUG
rnacentral:lncRNA from 1 species